rnacentral:rRNA from 1 species
UACGAAGGGUGCAAGCGUUAAUCGGAAUUACUGGGCGUAAAGGGCGCGUAGGCGGUCCUGAUCGUCGGAUGUGAAAGGCCUGGGCUCAACCUGGGAACUGCAUCCGAUACGGCGGGACUGGAGUGUGGGAGAGGUUGGUGGAAUUCCCAGUGUAGAGGUGAAAUUCGUAGAUAUUGGGAAGAACACCGGUGGCGAAGGCGGCCAACUGGACCACAACCGACGCUGAGGCGCGAAAGCGUGGGGAGCAAACAGG